rnacentral:rRNA from 1 species
UAAACACGUUAAGCCAAUAUUACCUGUACCCAAAACCGACACAGGUGGGUAGGUAGAGAAUACUAAGGGGCGCGAGAUAACUCUCUCUAAGGAACUCGGCAAAAUGGCCCCGUAACUUCGGGAGAAGGGGUGCCCUCCUCAGACGUGGGCCGCAGUGAAAUGAUCCAAGCGACUGUUUACCAAAAACACAGGUCUCCGCAAACUCGUAAGAGGAAAUAUGGGGGCUGACGCCUGCCCAGUGCCGGAAGGUUAAGGAAGUUGGUCAGGGAGCAAUCCUAAAGCUAGCGACUGAAGCCCCGGUGAACGGCGGCCGUAACGAUAACGGUCCUAAGGUAGCGAAAUUCCUUGUCGGGUAAGUUCCGACCUGCACGAAUGGCGUAACGAUCUCCCCGCUGUCUCUAACGUGGACUCAGCGAAAUUGAAUUGUCUGUCAAGAUGCAGACUACCCGCGGUUAGACGGAAAGACCCCAUGAACCUUUACUCCAGCUUUGCACUGGUAUCAGGAUUGUGAUGUGCAGGAUAGGUGGUAGGCAUUGAAGCGGGGACGCCAGUCUUCGUGGAGCCUCCCUUGAGAUACCACCCUUCGCCAUCUUGAUAUCUAACCGCGGCCCGCUAUCCGGGUCCGGGACCCUGCAUGGUGGGGAGUUUGACUGGGGCGGUCGCCUCCCAAAUUGUAACGGAGGCGCGCGAUGGUUGGCUCAGACCGGUCGGAAAUCGGUCGUUGAGUGCAAUGGCAGAAGCCAGCCUGACUGCAAGACUGACAAGUCGAGCAGAGACGAAAGUCGGUCAUAGUGAUCCGGUGGUCCCAAGUGGGAGGGCCAUCGCUCAACGGAUAAAAGGUACUCUGGGGAUAACAGGCUGAUGAUGCCCAAGAGUCCAUAUCGACGGCAUCGUUUGGCACCUCGAUGUCGGCUCAUCUCAUCCUGGGGCUGGAGCAGGUCCCAAGGGUAUGGCUGUUCGCCAUUUAAAGAGGUACGUGAGCUGGGUUUAGAACGUCGUGAGACAGUUCGGUCCCUAUCUGCCGUGGGUGCAGGAGACUUGAGAAGAGUUGACCCUAGUACGAGAGGACCGGGUUGAACGAACCACUGGUGGACCAGUUAUCGUGCCAACGGUAGUGCUGGGUAGCUAUGUUCGGACAGGAUAACCGCUGAAGGCAUCUAAGCGGGAAGCCCCCUUCAAAACAAGGUCUCCCUUGAGGGCCGUGGAAGACGACCACGUCGAUAGGCCAGAGGUGUAAGUGCAGUAAUGCAUUCAGCUGACUGGUACUAAUUGCCC